rnacentral:rRNA from 1 species
AGAUUGAACGCUGGCGGCAGGCCUAACACAUGCAAGUCGAGCGGCAGCACGGGUACUUGUACCUGGUGGCGAGCGGCGGACGGGUGAGUAAUGCCUAGGAAUCUGCCUGGUAGUGGGGGAUAACGCUCGGAAACGGACGCUAAUGCCGCAUACGUCCUACGGGAGAAAGCAGGGGACCUUCGGGCCUUGCGCUAUCAGAUGAGCCUAGGUCGGAUUAGCUAGUUGGUGAGGUAAUGGCUCACCAAGGCGACGAUCCGUAACUGGUCUGAGAGGAUGAUCAGUCACACUGGAACUG